CCCUGCCUCCAUUCCCCAUCUUGUGUGAAACGAAAUAAGUAAUUUUCAUCUUAGCUUCUCACCGAUAGUGAUCUGCGUCACGAAAUCAUCACACACCAGACACUCUGCUCAAUUGCAAGUGCUGGAAGCCUGAUAGCUGAGCCUCUGCUGCAGAGAUGCUCAGGAAGGAGUUUCUAUGGCUUCUCAAAGGCAUCUCUUCUUACAGGCCUGUGUCUUGGCUGCUGAGAAACUUUCUGAAGAGAUCCACCACCUUAAAAAGAACUUAUUUUCCUCCCUACCUGUACAAACCAGUGUCUCAGCUACUGGGGAAAGCAGUGACCUGUGGAGGCCAGAGAAGCAAACUAGUAAGCAGGGAGAAAAAUGGACUCUUCACAGUUCCCGAUCUAAGCAGGGGGACUUUCCAAAGACGGAACUGCCUUCAAAAACAGUGUCACUGAACUGGCAGGAUCAGCCAACUGCAUCAGCCAUGUUCCCUAUGGAUAAGCACUGA
rnacentral:lncRNA from 1 species